rnacentral:lncRNA from 1 species
ACCAGUUCUCGCAAAGUCAACUGCAUUGGGGCCCUUGAACUCCGACUUGUGAGGAGAGGAACAUUCCAGAAGAUUGUCGAGCAUUACGUGGCACUUGGAUCUGCUGUGAAUCAGUUCAAGACACCAAGAUACGUAGGCCCUACAAACACCAAAGUGUUGCAAAUAUUGAAUGAAAAUGUUGUGAAGAACUAUCUCAGUACUGCCUUCAAUUGAAUAAUAAUAAUAAUAAUAAUAUUUAGUAAUGAUAGCUAUCUAUAUAGUUUCCUUUCCCAAAUGAAUAAAAGUUUACCUCAUUUCUACUUUUGUUCCCAUUCCCAUACUCAAUUUUUUUUUUCUCUGACACAGUUCAGUCACACCUCUGUCAUCUUUAUCACCUC